rnacentral:rRNA from 1 species
CCUACGGGCGGCAGCAGUGAGGAAUAUUGGUCAAUGGACUAGCGCCUGAACCAGCCAAGUAGCGUGAAGGAUGACUGCCCUAUGGGUUGUAAACUUCUUUUAUAUGGGAAUAAAAUGUUCCACGUGUGGCAUUUUGUAUGUACCAUAUGAAUAAGGCUCGGCUAACUCCGUGCCAGCAGCCGCGGUAAUACGGAGGAUCCGAGCGUUAUCCGGAUUUUUUGGGUUUAAAGGGAGCGUAGGUGGGUUGUUAAGUUAGUUGGGAAAGUGUGCGGCUCAACCGUAAAAUUGCAGUUGAAACUGGCAGUCUUGAGUACAGUAGAGGUAGGCGGAAUUCGUGGUGUAGCGGUGAAAUGCUUAGAUAUCACGAAGAACUCCGAUUGCGAAGGCAGUUCACUGGACUGCAACUGACACUGAGGCUCGAAAGUGUGGGUAUCAAACAGGAUUAGAUACCCGGGUAGUC